UAAGGAAUAUUGGUCAAUGGACGCAAGUCUGAACCAGCCAUGCCGCGUGCAGUUAAGACGGCCCUACGGGUUGUAAACUGCUUUUGCAGGGGAAUAAACCUUCGUAUGUAUACGAAGCUGAAUGUACUCUGAGAAUAAGGAUCGGCUAACUCCGUG
rnacentral:rRNA from 1 species